CCUCGCCUGCUCUGCGGCUCCGCCAUUAAUCCAGAGCCCGGCCGGCGGGAUCGAAGAGGAGAGAAAAGGCGCGGCGCCGUCGGAUCCACCCACCCAGCCAGCCACCCGCGCACCUCCCGUUCCCCCAGAUCUCGCACUCCGGGGACGGGCUCCUCUUUCCCGGCUCCGCUGCAACGGCGGGGACGGCCGGGUGCAAACGGCCGGGAUUGCAGGAGCUCCCUCUGCAAACCAAGAGAGAUCAAUAAGAGCUUCACAGCCUCUUCUGUAACCUGGAAGCUAACAAGCUCCUGGCUUGGGAUUCCCUUCUGCCAGUCCAGAGGAGAAAAUGGGACUUGGGUUUCAAACCAGAAUUUAAAAGAAGCGAGGAAAAGCUUCCCCUCCAGUUAGCUUAAUCGGGGCUGGGUGUUUUUAUGAAGUGAUCCAGUUCCAAAUUGGUGGUUUGACAAUUUUGGAGAGUCAUGGAGCCAAAAUCUAAAAGUCCAGAAGGGGAACAUGUACGGAAACCCUGUAGUGACGAUUUCUCCAAAUGCACGGAGAUGGAGCCCUUAGGAUGGAAGCUUUCGCACGAAAUCAAACGGGAAUCUUUCCGAGGGUUGCAGCAACCCUGGAAAACCCAGUGGCAGGAUUUCCUGAAGACUUUGCCCUCUCCCCACGUGGGAUGGGAGGAAGACUCUGAGAUGCUGGCCAAUGCCCCUUGGGAUGACCCCAAGGCCUUCCUGAUCUCCUUUGAGCAGGUGGCCCAAGCCUGUCAAUGGCCCACGGGCGAGUGGGUGACUCGACUCCUGCCAGCCUUGAAUGGGGAAGCGAAGCGGGCCUUCAGCGGCUUAGAAGCAAGGGACAAGGAGGAUUAUGGGAAAGUGAAGGCGGCCAUCUUGAGAGGGGAAGCCAUCAGGAUCGAGGUGCAACGGCAGCACUUCCGGCAGUUCCGCUUCCAGGAGAUCGAAGACCCGCGUAGGGUUUACGGACAACUGCAGAGGCUUUGCCGCCAGUGGCUGAAGCCGGAGAGACGCACCAAAGAGCAGAUUCUGGAGCUGCUGAUCCUGGAGCAGUUCCUGGCCAGCCUCCCAUCGGAGCUCCAGAGCUGGAUCCGAGCAGGAGGGUUGGACACAUGUUCCCAGGCGGUGGCCUUGAUAGAGAAUUUCCUGCUGAACCGGCAGGAGGUUAAGGAGCCGUCGCAGGAGGCCAUCGCCAAGGGUUCCCUGGGUGAAGAGCGGGUUAUCUUGGAUGUUGAUGAGGAAGAGAACUAUAAAGACAUUAAACAGAACAAUGACGGAGUAAUCCAUUUGUUGGGUAAUGGAAGCAAAGACUGUGGCGAUUCCAGCUCCUUGCUUCCUCCCGAGGGAGAGGAAACGGAUCAAACUUCUCCUAGUAAGGAUCUCGCGAACUUGAAAGACGCUGGUGUUUCGCUGAGUGUGGUUGAGCCCAGCCCGAUCCAUUCGGGUCAGCAGACCAUGUUCUGGCAAGUCAUGCAGGAGGAAGAUGGGGAUGCAGAUUCUUUGGAGGGACUCUUGGUGCCCAAACCAGACCUGGCUUCCAAUCCAGAAGAAGAAGAAGAAGAAGAAGGGGAGCCGGUUUUCAUCCAGUUUCCUGUUGAAAGUGAGAGAAUUCCAAAUCCCGAAACAGGACCCAAGGACUCUUCGCUUUCGAAGACGGCGCCCAGCCCGUCAGGAGGCGCCCAGUUCUCCCGGAACAUCUCUUGUCCCCUCCGGGAUUUCACAGGCUCCCACUGGAAGCAUCCCCGCUGGACAGACGAUGAAAUCCAAGCUUUUAUUGAGAUCUGGGGGGACACAUCUGUACAGCGAGCCCUCUUCUCAAACUACCGGACGGUCUCUCAGUUUGAGUGGAUCUCGUGCCAGAUGAAGGCUCGGGGUUACGACCGGAAUUGGCUCCAGUGCCGGGAAAAAGCCAAACAUCUCCGGAAAAUCUACAAGGACUGCCUUGGCGGGCACAGCCACUGGGGAACUGGGAGGAGAGCGUGGCCUUUUUUCAACCAGCUGAAUCAAUUCCUGCGCGUUGAGCAGGAGCUGGUGGUUCCGCGGGAGAUCGGGCGUAAGGAGGUCCAGCAUCAUCUCGUCGACCGCCGGCGCAAAAGAAUGAGGAACCCGGCUGGUCUGGUGGCCAAACCUGCCCAGGUUCAAGUGGAGGUAGAAGCCCGUGAGCUGCAGACAAAGAAGCAGGCAAAACAUCCCACUCGCUUGCCCAAUGGGACGUCCCGCUCAGGAAGCCAAAAGCCGCCACUGACAAAUGCCGAACGGAUGAGAAACAUUCGCAAGUCCUGGCAGGAAAGGAAAGCGCACGUCAGUCAAGCCCGAGGCGGAAUUGGGGACUCUGCGACGGGAAGCCCUCUCAAGGACCCAGCCCUGCCGGGGUCCCACAAGGCCGACCCGGCACCCUCGAGUGAAAUUGAGAAGGCAUGGGAAGAGUGCGAAAGGAAAGCGGUGGAAAAGCUGGAAGGCUACUUACGUGAGAAAGGCUGGAAACUUCAAACCGGGCACUCGAGCCGGACCGGAAUUCUCCAGGAUGUCUUGUCCAUCGUUUGCAAGGGCCGUACGGCUCCAUCUCUGCCCGUUCUUACUUCCCCUGCCCAAGAGCCCCCUUUUUCUUCCCCGACGCCCCGUUCUGAAACAUCGACAGAGUCCCAAAUCUCAGCGGAGCCGUGCAAAAAUUCAGAGGCCCCUUCGGCCUCUUCUCCUCCUCCUCUUCCUCCUCUUCCUCUUCCUCCUUCUUCUCAGGGCGGCUUGUCGGACAGAAGCAUUCGCCUGAAAAGGAAGCGUUCUCUGCCGGCACGGUUUCAGUGCUGACCUUGUUUUAUUCCCUUUGCGGGUUCGUGCGUCAGCUGGUUAGUUGGCUCACACCCUCCUCAGGGUUUGGGCUUGGAUGUUUUGCCCUUUCUUCCUUUACAAUCGUAGAAUCGAACAAGGUGUGUUAGAUGCUGGCUCCUCCACGACAAAACAAAUCCGAAAUAAAACUUCAUUGCCCGUUUGAUGAGCCGCAGUGGUUAGAAUGCAGUACUGCAGGCUCAUUCUGCCAACUGCCAGCAGUUCAAUUCAAGGUUGACUCAGCCUUCCGUCCUUCCAAGGUCGUUAAAAUGAGGACAUCGAUUGUUGGGGCAAUAGGCUGAUUCUGUAAACCGCUUAGAGACGGCUGUGAAGCACUGUGAAGCGGUAUACAAGUCUAUUGCUAUCUUGGCCAUUUCUGUAGGGUUGGUGAGAUUUGGACUGCUAUGAGCCAUGGUGGUGCAGCGGUUAGAAUGCAGUAUUGCAGGCUAACUCUGCUGACUGCCAGGGGUUCGAUCCUCACCGGCUCAAGGUUGAGUCAGCCUUCUAUCCUUCCGAGGUCGGUAAAAUGAGGACCCAGAUUGCUGGUGGGGGAAAUGCUGACUCUGUAAACCGCUUAGAGAGGGCUGUAAAACACUGAAGCGAUAUAUAAGUCUAAGUGCUAAUGCUAUUGGGGACAGUGAGGAGUUUGGGGUUGUCAGUAAUUUCCUGACAGGACACAGCAGCCUUCCUGGAAUCCAUGCAGGGUAUCGGGAUCAGCUCUGCAGUUCUGUUAAUUUUUUUUUUUUUUUCAGUUUACUGAAUUUUUACGCCAUCAAACUCCCAGUGAGUCAGGGUGAUUUAAUUCGGCGUUUUUGUUUUUUUUAAAAAAGUAACAGUCAGUAUAAGGAGCACAACUGGUUUAACUUGUCUGUUAUAAUUGCAGUUACAACAGACAAAUAAAUCUGCUUUCUUGAUACGGGAUAAAUCAAGUUAAUAUCUUGAAAACUGGUAGCUCCUAGUAGUCUUCAACUUACAGCCAUUCGUUUACCAACUGUUUGGACUUAAAAUGACACUGAAAUGGGGACUUACAACUGGUAAAUGUAUGAUUUUUGUAGCGUCCCCACGGUCACAUGAUCCAACUUGGCCACUGUCAUGGGAUCACGUGAUUGCCAUUUAUGACUUUCCCAGCCGGCUUACGACAAGCCCAAGUCAAUGCGGGAAGCCAGAUUCGUUUAACGGCUGUAUGGUUCACUUUACAACUGCAGUGAUUCAAUGAACAGCCAUAGUAAAAGCACUAAAAAAAAAACGGCACAACUCGUUUUCAGUGCCUUGCUUAAGCAGUAGCAAUUCUGGCCUCAAUUUGGGGUCAUAAGUUGAGGACUACCCAGAGAAGGGCGUUCUCAGUUUUCAACGUUUUUCCUCAAAAAAAUUUUUUUUGAAAUGAAUUACCGUAUUUUUUCGGAUUAUAAAUUGCACUUUUUUGUCUCCCAAACGGGGUGAAAAUUCCUGUGCGUCUUAUAGACUGAAUAUUGCCAGCCUUUUUUUUUUUUGCCUCUGCACACCUCAUUUUCGGGGUAUUUUCCAGCCUGUUUUCAAGGCUUAUUUUUACCUCGAAAUGGGACCAAAAAAAGCCUCGAAAAAGGGCCGAAAAAAGCCUCGAAAACAGGCUGAAAACAAGCCUCAAAAACGGGUUGGAAAGAGCCUCAAAAACAGGCCGAAAAAAAGCCCCAAAAUGGGCCGAAAAAAGGCCCAAAAGAAGGGAGGCCAAAAACCAUUUUUUGUUCUUUUCCCCUUCUAAAUUUAUAGUCCGAAAAAUACAGUACUAGCUUCUAAAUGUGCCAGGAGUCAGCCAUUUGUUAAGGGCCGGAUGCUGCCCCUCCUCUGUUUCCACAGGCGCAUCUGACAGAUGCACCAGCCGAGGAGCACAACAGCUGUCGGAUGGUGCCAUCUUACCGAUGAUAGGGUGCCCCACCUGUCACACUUAAUGACCGUUGCCGUAUCUCCAUGGUCAUGUGAUUUAUAUUCAGAUGCUUGGCAACUGACUCAUAUUUAUGAUGGUUGUGUUGUGUCUUGCCCGCUCUCACCGCAGCCGGGGUCUUCUUAUCUGCUUCCGAACGCUGAGGAAUGUCCUAGUAUGCCUCCCGGCCCCAGCCCUGGCUCCAUGCCCAAGCAGGCUGCAGAGGAGGGAGCAUCCCCCGGCCCCAGCCCUGGCUCCAUGCCCAGGCAAACGGAGCAACUAGACCCCUCCCCCUCCCCCACAGCAUGUGAGCCUGAGGAAGGUCAAUUACCAACAGCUGCAGACUGGAGUGACCCUCGCUUCAGAAGAAUGGAUAGGCGGAGGCAACAGAAGGAAGGGAGGGGCAGGCCUGGAUAAGUGCUGAGUCAUGGAGCCACACUCCAUGGCCUAUAUAAAGGAUCUGCUUUCUGGCAUUCUCUGAGUCAGGCAAAGUCUAAACAUAUCUUGCUGAAGUCACUUUCUGGUCUCCUGCCUGCUCUGAGGACUUUGCUAGGACUUUGGGCAGAGCUGCAGAGGCAAGCCUGAUUCGGAUUUCCCUGACCCAGCCGUCAGCGGAGGAGUGGGACACGACAGGUUGCAGUGUCCCCAAAAGCGAUCCCCUUUCGCGACCUGACCAGGAAAGUCAACGGGGAAGCCAGAUUCACUCUACAACCCUGUGACUCGUUUAACAACUGCAGUGAUUCACUUAGCAAAUGUGGCAAGAAAAGUCGUCAAAUGAAGCAAAGCUCACUUAACGCGCAUUUCUCACUUAGCAACAUGAAUCCUGGGCUCAAUUGUGGUCGUAAGUCGAGAACGCCCUGUAUUUAGGACAGUUGCAGAAUCCUGAGGUAACAUUUGUGACCUACCGGGGCAACUUUCAACAAGCCAAAACAAUGGGGAAAGCAAAUAGGCUGUAAAAUUGGGCGCGACUCACUUAACAACCGCAUCACUUAGCAACAGAAUUCUUACCCUGAUUGUGGUCAAAAGUAGAGGACUUCCUGUGAAAAAGAUCUUAUCCACAGGGCCUUUCGGGAUGAAAAUCAUGGGAGUUUGGUAGGUUGGCGACAGCCCUUUCAUUUUUUUUCUUUGUAGGCAAGUGUCUCAUAUUUAUGACUGUUGUGAUGUGCUGGGGACACAUGAUCCCCUUUUACGACCUUUUGAGGAGCAAAACCAAUGGGGAAGCCAGAUUCACUUAACAACUGUGACAGGAACGGUUGUAAAACGGGGCAAGCUUAACCAAUGUCUCACUUGGGCCUCUGGUGGCUCAACAGGCUAAUGCAGUCUGUUAUUAAACACAGCUGCCUGCAAUUACUGCAGGUUCAAGUCCCACCAGGCCCAAGGUUGACUCAGCCUUCCAUCCUUUAUAAGGUAGGUAAAAUGAGGACCCAGAUUGUUGAGGGCAAUAAGUUGACUUUGUAUAUAAUAUACAAAAGGAUGAAGACUAUUGCUUGACAUAGUGUAAGCCGCCCUGAGUCUUCGGAGAAGGGCGGGAUAUAAAUGCAAAUUAAAACAACAACAACAACAACUUAACAACAGAAAUGUUGGGUCCAAUUGUCAUAAAUUGAGGAUUUCCUGUAUCUUGAAUGCUUGGCAAGUUGAAGAUGUGUAGACUUCAACUCCCAGAAUUCCCCAGCCAGCAUGAAUAAAAUGUGCAGGGAUACCUCCGGUACCGUGUUAGUUAAUGCAAGUGAAGCAGUUGAUAAAUGAAUCUGGCUUCCGUCCCCAUUGAUUUUGCUCGUCGAAAGGUCGCAAAAGGGGAUUACAUGACCUUGGGACAGAGCAACAGUCGUAAGUGUGAACCAGUCGCCAAGCAUCUGAAUUUUGAUCACAUGAUCGUGGGGAUGCACUAAGGCAGCGGUUCUCAACCUGUGAGUCGGGACCCCGUUGGGGGUCGAAUGACAAUUUGCCAGGGGUCGCCUAAGACCAUCGGAAAUAUGGGAAGUAUACUUGCGAGUCGAAGAAUCGCAUUCCAAUGUUUGACUCCACAAGCCAGCUGCAGGCUCUUCAAAUCGCUAGCCGAAUUCGGCUUCAGGCGCGAUGAAUUAAAAAAGAGAGAAAUCUUUGCUCUGAUGUCUCCCUCUCAAGCCAGCUGCAAUCGCUCCCAAUCGCUAGCCUAAUCUGGCUUCAGGCGCCAUAAACUUAAUAGGGGUCUCCGCUUUAAUGCCUCCGUCCUCAAGGCAAUCGCAAGCAGUUCAUAUCACUAGCCAAUACGGCUUCAGGCGUGAUAAAUUCAAAACGAAAAUAAUUUUAUGGUUGGGGUCGCCACAUCGUGGGGAAUUGUAUUAAAGGGGUCACAGCACUAUGAAGUUUGUAGACCCCUGCACUGAGUGAACACUUGUAAGUAAGUUGAGGACUGCCUGUAUCUUCUAGCAGUCUCUUUUGUCGUCAGCCAUUCAGUCGUGGUCCAGUCUCUGGCCACUCUAGGAUGAACCAUAGAGUGGCUGAGGGUCGGACAUGACCGAACGGCUGACUAUGAUGAAAGGCACUGUUAGAAGAUAUUAACUAACAUGGUGUUGGAAGUAUCCCCACACAUCGUAGGCCACUGCGAGAGACCAGCAACUCAGCCCACGUGGCUGGUAAUUUGGGAAAAAGUGCUUCGAAUCACUUGAAACUCCACUUUUAACAAACUCUAGCCAAAAAUGCAAUCCUAGGUUUCAUUAACCAAGGGAUGGCAUCGAGAUACUGGGUAUGUCUAGUUUAACAAAAAGAAGGACUAGGGGAGACAUGAUAGCUGUGUUCCAAUAUCUCAGGGGUUGCUACAAAGAAGAGGGAGUCGGGCUGUUCUCCAAAGCACCUGAGGGUAGAACAAGAAGCAGUGGGUGGAAACUGAUCAAAGAAAGAAGCAACUUAGAACUAAGAAGAAAUUUCCUGACAGUUAGAACAAUUAAUAAGUGGAACGACUUGCCUGCAGAAGUUGUGAAUGCUCCAACACUGGAAAUUUUUAAGAAACUGUUGGAUAACCAUCUGACUGAGAUGGUGUAGGGUUUCCUGCCUGGGCAGGGGGUUGGACUAGAAGGCCUCCAAGGUCCCUUCCAACUCUGAUGUUAUGUUAUGUUAUGAGAUCACGUGAAGUACUAGUACCGCUUGUGUAUGGAGAUUCUCCGUCAUCCAGGUCAUGGUUGUCCCAAAGGUGCUUUUUUUCAAGAGGCAACUGGACUUUCUGGUUUUUUUUGUUUUUGUUUUUCUUUGAACAUGUUUCGCUUCUUAUCCAGUCAGAACUGAAGAAGCUUCUUGGAUGAGAAGCGAAAUGUCUUAAAAGAAAAAAAAAACCCCAGAAAAUCCAGUUGGCUCUUGAAAAAGCACCUUUGGGAUUACUAGUACCGUUUUAUAAAGCCUGAGUAAGGCCACACUUGGAAUACUGCAUCCAGUUUUGGUCACCAUAUUAUAAAAAAGAUGUUGAGACUCUGGAAAGCAUGAUGAAAGGGGCAACAGAAAUGAUUAGGGGCUGGAGGCUAAAAUAUAAUAAAGAACGGUUGCAGGAACUGGGUAUGUCUAGUUUAACGAAAAGAAGGACUAGGGGAGACAUGAUAGCAGUGUUCCAAUAUCUCAGGGGCUGCCACAAAGAAGAGGGAGUCAAACUAUUCCCCAAACCACCUGAGUGCAGGACAAGAAGCAAUGGAUGGAAACUAAUCAAGGAGAGAAGUAACCUGGAAUUAAGGAGAGACGUUCCAUCUGAGAACAAUUCACCAGUGGAACAACUUGCCUCAAAAACUUGUGAAUGCUCCAUCACUGGACGUUUCUAAGAAGAGAUUGGCCAGCCACUGGUCUGGAAUAGUAUAGGGUCUCCUGCUUGAUCAGGGGUUGGAUUAGAAGACCUCGAUGGUCCUUUCCAACUCUGUCGUUCUGUUAUUUUCUAAGGUUCUGUAUUGACUCUGAAUUAGCAUUAAAGAGAUCGUAUUGAAAUCUGUGUAUGCCUUACUUUCUUGACCUUGCUCAGCGGAGCUGAAUUUGCUAUAAAAAAAGAUAAAGACAAUUACAUUUGCGCUAAUAGAUCAUCCUUGGUCUUCAGUUACGUUCUGAAUUUUAAUUUUGAACUUGUCCUGCUCUUGUUACGAAGUGUAUUCGGUGUCUUCAACCUUAGAGCACGGGGGCCGCUUGCCCCCAAUGAGAAAGGUUAAAAUAGACAAAACGAGGCAGCAUAAAAAUAAAAGUACGUUGCAAAUUUUUUAUUGUUGCAAAGCUGUACACAUUGGUUAUACGUGGGUUGCAGUUGUUUGUUCUUCUCUUGAGGAAAUUUACCUACAGAUUUUGCUAAAAAAUCGGCACUGUAUUGAAAGUACAGGUAGUCCUCGACUUACGACAGUUCAUUUAGUGACCAUUCAAAGGUACAACGGUUCUGAAAAAAAGUAGCUUACCACCGUUUUUCACACUUAUGACCGUGACAGCAUGGCCGCCAUAACAAAAUUCAGACGCUUGGCAAUCGACUGACUGAUAGCUAUGGUGUCCCCUUUUGUGACCUUCUGACAAGCAAAAUCCGUGGGUGGGUGGCUCAGGCUGUAAGAUAGCCUGUUAUUAAACACAGCUGCUUGCAAUUACUGCAGGCUCGAGUCCCACCAGGCCCAAGGUUGACUCAGCCUUCCAUCCUUUAUAAGGUAGGUAAAAUGAGGACCCAGAUUGUUGGGGGGGGCAAUAAGUUGACUUUGUAUAUAAAUAUACAAAUAGAAUGAAGACUAUUGCCUUACACAAGUAAGCCGCCCUGAGUCUUCGGAGAAGGGCGGGAUAUAAAUGUAAAUUUAAAAAAAAAAUCAACGGGGGAAGCCGGAUUCAACUUAACAACUGUUUUACUAAUUUUAACAACUGCAGUGAUUCACUGAACAACUGUGGCUAGAAAGCUCGUAAAAUGGGGCAAAAUGUCUCCCUUGCCAACAGAAACGUUGAACUCGAUUGUGGUCGUAAGUCAAGGACUACCUGUAAUCUUUAUGUUCAAAGGGAGCCCGUGACUUGGUUGUACAGGUAGUCCUCGAUUUAACAAAACGUUUCAUUUAGCAACGGAAAUUUUGGGUUCAACUUUGAUCGUAGGGGGAGGACUACCUGCGUUCUGUAAAUGUUGUGCUAUAGACUACUGCAAUGCACUCUACCUGGGGCUGCCCUUGAAGAGUGUAUGGAAACUUCAACUGGUACGGGCCUCUGUGGCUCAGACUGGUAAGACAGUCUGUUAUUAACAGCAGCUGCCUGCAAUUACUGCAGGUUCAAGCCCCACUAGGCCCAAGGUUGACUCAGCCUUCCAUCCUUUAUAAGGUAGGUAAAAUGAGGACCCAGAUUGUUGGGGGCAAUAAGUUGACUUUGUAUAUAAUAUACAAAUGGAUGAAGACUAUUGCUAACAUAGUGUAAGCCGCCCUGAGUCUUCGGAGAAGGGCGGGAUAUAAAUGCAAAUUAAAAAAAAACAAAACACGGCAGUGCAGGCUGUUAGGUGUGUCUCUAGAAGGGCACAUUUUGCACCGUGGUGGUGCAGUGGUUAGAAUGCAGUAUUGCAGGCUACUUCUGCUGACUGCCAGAGGUUCGAUUCUCACCGGCUCAAGAUUGACUCUACCUUCUAUUCUUCCGAGGUCAAUAAAAUGAGGACACAGAUUGUUAGGGGGCAAUAUGCGGACUCUUAAACCACUCAGUGCUGUAACGCAUGAUUUGAGCGGUAUAUAAUUCUAACUGCUAUCGUUAGAAUGCUGCAACCAGCGAUAAAAGUUGAGUCAGUUGCCAAGCACCUGAAAUGCAAUCGCAACUGUGAGGAUAUCUGCAGCUGUCAGAAGGAACCAGGUCUUAAGUAAAUUUGGGGGAGGCAGUGGGGGUAUCCAUCGUAACUUUGAACGGUUAGAAUAGAAUAGAAUUUUUUAUUGGCCAAGUGUGAUUGGACACACAAGGAAUUUGUCUUGGUGCAUAUGCUCUCAGUGUACAUAAAAGAAAAGAUACCUUCAUCAAGGUACAACAUUUACAACACAAUUGAUGAUCAAUAUAUCAAUAUAAAUCAUAAGGAUUGCCAGCAACAAGUUAUAGUCAUACAGUCAUAAGUGGAAAGAGAUUGGUGAUGGGAACUAUGAAACGAUUAAUAGUAGUGCAGAUUCAGUAAAUAGUCUGACAGUGUUGAGGGAAUUAUUUGUUUAGCAGAGUGAUGGCCUUCGGGAAAAAACUGUUCUUGUGUCUAGUUGUUCUGGUGUGCAGUGCUCUAUAGCGUCGUUUUGAGGGUAGGAGUUGAAACAGUUUAUGUCCAGGAUGCGAGGGAUCUGCAAAUAUUUUCACGGCCCUCUUGAUUCGUGCAGUAUACAGGUCCUCAAUGGAAGGCAGGUUGGUAGCAAUUAUUUUUUCUGCAGUUCUAAUUAUCCUCUGAAGUCUGUGUUUUUCUUGUUGGGUUGCAGAACCGAACCAGACGGUUAUAGAGGUGCAAAUGACAGACUCAAUAAGCAAUAGCAAUACAGGGAGUCCUCAACUUAACCUCAAUUGAGCCUUUGCUAAGUGAGAAAUUGGUAAGAAAUAAAAUUGGUGAUUGAGUUUUGCCCGAUUUUAUGACUUGGCGUGCCACAUUUAAGGACCCAGAUUGUUGGGGGCAAUAUGCUGACUCUGUAAACUGCUUAGAGAGGGUUGUAAAAGCACUGUGAAGCGGCAUAUAAGUCUAUUGCUAUUUCUUAAGUGAAUCUCUACAGUUUUUGAGCUGGUAACACAGUUGUUAAGUGAAUCUUAACAACUGAGUGCUUCGGGAGAAGGGCGGUAUAAAAAUUUAAUUAAUAAAUAAAUAAAAUAAAUCUGGUUUCCCCAUUGAGUUUGACAGAAAGUCACAAAGGGGAAUCCCAUGACUUCCCACAGGUCACUGCACCCGUCAUAAAUACGAGCCAGUGUCAAGAAUCUGAAUGUAAACCACGGUGCUGCAAUGGUCGUAAGUGUGAAAAAUGGUUGUAAGUCACUAUUUUCAGUGCUGUUAUAACGUUGGUCACAAAACGGAUUGUUGUUGUAAGUCGAGGACUAUCUGUAGCGUUGAGAUUUAUAUACCACUCCAUCGUGCUUUAUAGCAUUCUGAGUAGUUUACAAUGUCAGCAUAUUGCUCCCUACAAUCUGGGUCUUCAUUUUAUAGACCUCAGAAAGACAGAAGGCUGAGUCAACCUUGAGCUGGUCAGGAUCGAACUCCUGGCAGCGAGCUGAAUUAGCCCUGCAAGACUGCAUUCUAACAACUGCACCACCGGGGUUUCUUAUCAACGGUUGCUAAGUGGCUGGUCAUUAAGAGACCACAAUGUGGAGAUGUAACCAAACAUUUCCUUGGCUCUUGUCCUAUGUACCUCCAGCACCACUGAGGAGAACCGAUUCCCUCAUUAUAAAUUGAAUAACUUUAAUUACCGCGUUCUGAACAUGGGUGCUAUUCAGCAGGAUCUGACAGGUUCUGGAGAACCGGCAGUGGAAAUUUUGAGUAGUUUGGCAAAUACCACCUCUGGCUGACCCCAGAGUGGGGUGGGAAUGGAGAUUUUGCAAUAUCCUUCCCCUCAGUGGUGAAAUCUGAACCGGUUUAGUACCAGUUUGGUGGCUGUGUGCUUGCGCACUGCACACCAAAAGGAAGGUAAGAAUAGUGCGCGCGGGAGGGGAGGGUGAUCAGCUGUGGCGUGCAAUCAUCGGAGCCUUUUUUUAAUUUUUUUUUUAAGCAUUUUUUUACUACCUGUUUGGGCAAAUAGGCUGUAAGAAAAUGCUUUUAAAAGUAAAAAAAAAAGGUUUGGACGAUUCCUUGCCACAACUGUGAUUGUCAGAGCCUUUUUUUUUUUACUUUUAUAAAUGCAUUUUUUUACUACCUAUUCCUAUCAUUCGGGCGGGAAAAGCGAGUGAGCCGGAAAGAAGCGGCAAGCGGGCGACAGGGUGGGCAUGGGUGGGGGGGGGGAGGAGGGAUUUUUGCUACCAGUUCUCCGAACCACCCGCCGCCAUCGCUACCAGAUCGGCCGAUCUAGUCCGAACCGGGAGCAUUUCGCCCCUGCUUCUGCCACAGCCACCAAGCCACGCUCACAGAACUAGUAGUAAAAAAAUUUGAAUUCCACCACUGGUUCUGAAUCCCUGAAUGUAAACGCGUGUCACAUUAACCUAAUGGCAGGGCAGGAAGACGGGAUGUUUAGUAACCACGUUCUAACUCAGUUGGAAGAAAGAAGCGGGAAGUUAGGACAGCCAUUUAAAAAAAAAAAAGAUUGUAGGAAAGAAACGAGCCGAUUCAGAGCAAAGUUCCUUUCUUGUUUCCCUUUAGGUGACGAAAAGAGGUCUUGGAUGCAAGUGAAGAGCUCCCAAAUGGAAGGCGAGACGGAGACGCUGACCGAAUUCUCACAGUGGAACAUGCCUGCAACGACAACCAUUCACGAACAAAAUUGCGAGCCCAACGUGGGGCAGGGG